AUGAACGCUGGCGGCGUGCCUAAUACAUGCAAGUCGAGCGAACGGACGAGAAGCUUGCUUCUCUGAUGUUAGCGGCGGACGGGUGAGUAACACGUGGAUAACCUACCUAUAAGACUGGGAUAACUUCGGGAAACCGGAGCUAAUACCGGAUAAUAUUUUGAACCGCAUGGUUCAAAAGUGAAAGACGGUCUUGCUGUCACUUAUAGAUGGAUCCGCGCUGCAUUAGCUAGUUGGUAAGGUAACGGCUUACCAAGGCAACGAUGCAUAGCCGACCUGAGAGGGUGAUCGGCCACACUGGAACUGAGACACGGUCCAGACUCCUACGGGAGGUAGCAGUAGGGAAUCUUCCGCAAUGGGCGAAAGCCUGACGGAGCAACGCCGAGUGAGUGAUGAAGGUCUUCGGAUCGUAAAACUCUGUUAUUAGGGAAGAACAUAUGUGUAAGUAACUGUGCACAUCUUGACGGUACCUAAUCAGAAAGCCACGGCUAACUACGUG
rnacentral:rRNA from 1 species